UACGUAGGGUGCAAGCGUUAAUCGGAAUUACUGGGCGUAAAGCGUGCGCAGGCGGUUUUGUAAGUUUGUCGUGAAGCCCCGGGCUCAACCUGGGAAUUGCGAUGAAGACUGCAAGGCUUGAAUCUGGCAGAGGGGGGUAGAAUUCCACGUGUAGCAGUGAAAUGCGUAGAGAUGUGGAGGAACACCGAUGGCGAAGGCAGCCCCCUGGGUCAAGAUUGACGCUCAUGCACGAAAGCGUGGGGAGCAAACAGG
rnacentral:rRNA from 1 species